rnacentral:misc_RNA from 1 species
AAGUCGUAACAAGGUUUCCGUAGGUGAACCUGCGGAAGGAUCAUUACCGAGUUUUUUGGUUCGAAAGAGCCGAACUCUUCACACCGUGCGUACGCAUGUCAUUACGUUUACACACAAAGGCAAAUGUGUCUAAUCAACCGAAUCAAACUAAAGCAAAAACUUUCAACAACGGAUCUCUUGGCUCUC